CAAUAGCGUAUAUUAAAGUUGUUGCAGUUAAAAAGCUCGUAGUUGGAUUUCUGGUGGGAGCGAUCGGUCUGGCGCUUAGCGCGAGUACUUGCAUCGUCUCCGGCCAUCCUUGGGGAGAGUCUGUCUGGCAUUAGGUUGUCGGGCAGAGGAUCUUCAUCGUUUACUGUGAAAAAAUUAGAGUGUUCAAAGCAGGCUUAUGCCGUUGAAUAUAUUAGCAUGGAAUAAUAAGAUAGGACUUUGGUACUAUUUUGUUGGUUUGCGCACCAAAGUAAUGAUUAAUAGGGACAGUUGGGGGCAUUCGUAUUCCGUUGUCAGAGGUGAAAUUCUUGGAUUUACGGAAGACGAACUACUGCGAAAGCAUUUACCAAGGAUGUUUUCAUUAA
rnacentral:rRNA from 1 species